GACCGGGAGAGGGGUAGGAGCAGGUGUAGAGGCUGGGAGAGGAGCAGGAGUAGUGACCGGGAGAGGGGUAGGAGCAGGGGUAGAGACCGGGAGAGGAGCAGGAGUAGUGACCGGGAGAGGGGCAGGGGUAGGAGCAGUGACCGGGAGAGGGGCAGGGGUAGGAGCAGUGGGAGAGGGAGGGGUGGGGGAGAUGGAAGGGAUCGUUUGGGGUCCAGUAGCUGCAGGUGCUUCAGCCUCAUCGUCAUCUGUUAUCUCCA